GCUUCAGUCUCUCUCGUGCCGCUUUCACUGCAGAAGGACGCAAACGAUAGUCCGCCGUAGCUUCAGCACGUGGAUAGAAACAAUGAAAUCUAAUGUAAUGCACUGCGAGGCGUCUUACAUGCUCUUUACGACCAUGACGUAGUCCCCUUGUUCAAAGGGAAGGAAAGCAGAACGCGUUGUGGUUUUUCCACGAUGACAACAUGGUGCUGCGAGCAGGGCACGUGGUCAGACGAAUGAAAGCUGGCCUCACCCUGUGAGCCUCGGUCUCUUUGGCCUGGUCGAGAGUGCCUGGAUGCGGUGAAAACUCUGUAUUUUCAGGCUCAAUGACGAAGAUGUAUACAACUGAAGACACUAGUUCGUUCUCUGGACUUGGCAGUAGUCCUAGUAUCCUACCUUCCGCGAGGCGUGGUCUGCAGCCAUGGUAUCUAAAGCAGUGGGACGAAAUGUACCACCAGUUCGUUCUCUGGAUUGCUGGCAGUAGUACUGGUGUCCUACCUUCUGUGAGGUAACUGGAUGUAACACCAGUUCGUGCUCUGGAUUGCUGGCAGUAGUACUGGUGUCCUACCUUCUGUGCGGCGUGAUCUGCAGCCAUGGUAUCUAAAGCAGUGGGACUAGAUUGAGACUGCUGUCUUGAUCGUCAACAUGUAGGAGGGCAUUGCAGUUGUAACAGCUGCGAGCGCCAACCUCUCAGGUAUGACUGACAGCCCAAGCUGCAUGACAUUCAGACUGAACGGCCAGGCGCUGCUUUGAGUAGGGAUCCGCUACAGAGAUGGACCUAAUACCAAAUCUUCAGGAAACUAAGCAUGAACCAUCUCACAUUGUAUGGAUACAUUGUCAUUUGUUUCUUUGUGCAAAGUUUCCUAAAUGUUUGUAUUUAAUUUAUUUUAAAUAAAAUGAAAUGACUCAAGGAUUUUGUUUCAGUGAUUGUAGUUUGAUUACAAUUAAUAGACAGGCAUUUCCUCAAUUAGUGUUCUGGAUUGAUGACACCACUUGACUAUAAAUAUAUUAAUGUACUGAAUAUGGUAAAAGCAAAUUUCGUCCAGUUGGCUUGUAAAUGGGUAGAAUGUAGAAUUUGAGGCUGUGCAGUUAAUUUCCUGCUUUGAAGACCACUCCCCAUAAUGGCUGGUUACCAACAUGUUUCCCACUGAAGAUUGUCACACUGGCUGAAAGACGGCCUUUUGGCCAAUUUCGGCCUAUUUACAGAAAUGUAUUAAUGACGUUACUGAAUACAAACUCCAUGACUGAAGAAGGCCUACUCAAUGGAAUAAAUAUUGUCUGGAAUCA